GACGAACGCUGGCGGCGUGCCUAAUACAUGCAAGUAGAACGCAGUGGCGAACGGGUGAGUAACGCGUAGGUAACUGCCUCAUAGCGGGGGAGAAAUAAUGGAAACGAUAGCUAAUACCGCAUACUGUGAGAUGGAACUGCUGUGUAUUAGCUAGUUGGUGGGGUAAAGGCCCACCAGGGCGACGAUACAUAGCCGACCUGAGAGGUGGAUCGGCCACAGUGGGACUGAGACACGGCCCAGACUCCUACGGGAGGCAGCAGUAGGGAAUCUUCGGCAAUGGACGGAAGUCUGACCGAGCAACGCCGCGUGAGUGAUGAAGGUUUUCGGGUCGUAAAGCUCUGUUGUUAGGGAAGCGGUACCUAACCAGAAAGCGACGGCUAACUACGUGCCAGCAGCCGCGGUAAUAC
rnacentral:rRNA from 1 species